rnacentral:tRNA from 1 species
UCGGGGCGUAGCUCAGUUGGGAGAGCGCCCGAUUCUGGAUCGGGAAGUCGGCGGUUCGAAUCCGCCCGCCCGACCCA